rnacentral:antisense_RNA from 12 species
AAUAACCAAAUACAACACUUGGAUUAAGAGUAAGAUUUGUAAUUUUUCUUACAUCUCCACCACCGGGAGCCCACGUAUCGUAUACACCUCCAAAAUACAAAGCUUUGAGCACUGAAAGAAAAGCACCAGCACCUAACAAGAUUAAAUGAAUACCUAAAAUUGUAGUCAUUUUGUUCUUAUCUUUCCA